UACGGAGGGGGCUAGCGUUGUUCGGAAUUCCUGGGCGUAAAGCGCACGUAGGCGGACCAGUUAGUUGGGGGUGAAAUCCCGGGGCUCAACCCCGGAACUGCCUCCAAAACUGCUGGUCUGGAGGUCGAGAGAGGUGAGUGGAAUUCCCGGUGUAGCGGUGAAAUGUGUAGAGAUCGGGAGGAACACCAGUGGCGAAAGCGCUUGACUGGGCCGUAACUGACGCUGAGGAACGAAAGCCAGGGGAGCGAAAGGG
rnacentral:rRNA from 1 species